ACUAGUUUUGGUUUUUAAGUAUAAAAUCUCCAGGUUGCAUGUAAGUUCUCAGCAAAAACAUUUGCUAUGUGUGUACAAACUAGAAAGUACUCCCUUUGUUAGGCUAGUACAUCAUUCAAAUGCCAGAUCAAAAUAAUUAGAAAUACUCAUUCAGUAGGGAUAAUUGAGUUCUUUUUAAAAGAUACACCAUGUACUAGUCCCACACCUAAAAUUCUAGGAGUUGAGAGUCUUGAGGUGAGAAGAUUCAAGUACAACCUGAGAAACGGAAACUUGUCUCAAGAUCAAAUUCUUGGCUGGGUAGCUGGCAUUGUGAAUAUAAGUACUACGGUUAAACCCUAGCAGCCAGGCAGGUAUGAUGGCUAAACCUAGAAGCUGAUUUUAGUGAGAAACCUCAGGGAAGUCCUCAGGGAAGGUGGUCAGUAUCAGUGUGUGUAUGUACAUCUACCCAAAGAACAUAAAUCCUUUGAUCUGAGCUAUUUUCCCAUUUGGGAUUUUAGCUGAAAGUACCCAGUAGGGGGCUGAGUGUGCUUAGGACUUUGCACUGCAUGGUAUCUGCACUCAGCAGUUCUUUCCUGUUGGGUGUUCAAAAGACAGUGCAAUAGAAACUCACUAUCUGGCAUCGUUGGUUUCUUGGCUUUGUGCAUGUUAAACCUGGUAUUUCUAAUGAUACAGUUUUUCAUAUGUACAUAAUUUUUGUAUGUAGGUGUGUCCGGGAGGGCAGAGCAACUUGUAAGUUUGAUCUCAAUGUGGGGUCUUAAAUUACCUGGUCUUAAAGCUUGGUUGUCUGAUAAAUGACCCAUUCCUCUUCUUCCUAGGGUGACACAAGCGAACCCUACCUUAAUGGUUUAAAGAUAAUUUAAGAAGGCGCCCUAAAGUAGAUUGAAGAAACCCCCAAAUCUGGUGACCUGGAUGGACAGCAAAUCCCUCAAUUUAUUUGACUUAAUCAGUAAAAGAGAACCUUUAGUAUGAAGUCAGCAUGUCUAGAGUUUCUAGUGCUUUAUUUUUUAAUUUGUACUUUGUUGAACUGCUCAUCCUUUUUCUUGCUUUGUUUUCUCUUCUCUUUGCUGUUUCACCCCAGUUAACUGCCUGUGUAACCUGUAAGAGAAAUUUGUGGAAUUAGGCUGGUAGCAAAAUAAUAAAAGCAAGUGAAUGAAAAGAUACCUUAGUGCUUGGGCAGAUUCUUCCUGAAGAGAGAAUGGUAAGUCAUCUCAUUAGAUUCUGAGAGCAAUUUGACAAAAAUUCAACACUGUUGAAUUCGGAAAACUCAAGGCUUUAACCUAGUUCAGCCAUCUUGAGGCACUCACUAAAAAGGCUGCCAUUUUCUUGUUUCCCUGUACAAAAGGAUAAAAAAGACUUCCACAUACUAUCAGAGACUGAAAAGGCUUCA